AACGUAGGGGACAAGCGUUAUCCGGAUUUACUGGGCGUAAAGCGCCCGUAGGCGGCCUGACAAGUUGGACGUGAAAGCUCCUGGCUUAACUGGGAGAGGCCGUUCAAAACUGACAAGCUAGAGUCUGGAAGAGGAGCGUGGAAUUCCCGGUGUAGUGGUGGAAUGCGUAGAGAUCAGGAGGAACACCGAUGGCGAAGGCAGGUCUCUGGGCCACUACUGACGCUGAGGAGCGAAAGCGUGGGGAGCGAACAGG
rnacentral:rRNA from 1 species